UACGUAGGGUGCAAGCGUUAAUCGGAAUUACUGGGCGUAAAGGGUGCGCAGGCGGUUCGCUAAGUCGCGUGUGAAACCUCCAGGCUCAACCUGGAGACGCCACGCGAUACUGGCGUGACUAGAGUUCGGUAGGGGAUCACGGAAUUCCUGGUGUAGCGGUGAAAUGCGCAGAUAUCAGGAGGAACACCGGUGGCGAAGGCGGUGAUCUGGGCCGACACUGACGCUGUAGAGCGAAAGCGUGGGGAGCGAACAGG
rnacentral:rRNA from 1 species